rnacentral:lncRNA from 1 species
GUCUCUGCACAUGUAAGUUGCCCCAAGACUCCUGAUGGGGAGGGGAGAGGCUGGGAGAGCUGAGAGUAAAAGCCCAACCCAAGACCCCUGUGUAGACCUGGUUAAUGUGGACCAGGAGAGACUUAGGCGGAGGGAUAACUUGAGCCUAGGCGUUGAAGGCUACUUCAGAAAAUAGAUCAUGCAGGCCAAUAUUAUAAUGUGAAAGGGUAUCUAUCUAUUUACACUCCCAAACAGCGCCUGCACUGAGUGAUGUUCUCCGUCUAAUCGGCAAUAUGGGGGCAGCUGUUCCAGUGUAGAUGUUUACUCAAGGGUGUUCUCAAGGCGUGCGCUCUCUACUAUGCCUCAUGUUGCCUACCUUAGUGUGGUAUCGUGGAGUUGAAAAGAUCAAGUUAAGAUACUGACGUAGGAUUCUUAAUGAAAGUAUUGCACCAGUUUUUUCAUGUUGUAAAACUAAAGAAUUUCGCUCUACAGUUUGAGAAACUGUGGCCACCGCUGUGACCUGCAGCCCGCCUGCUGCCCAGGACGGGCCCUGCACUUUGAACAGGCUUUCCAUGUUGUUUUGAAGGUUCCCACGGUGAACCUUCUUGUUUACAGAUUUUUUUGUUUGUUUUUUGAGAAAAAAAAUGUUUACUCUUCCAUCAUUUAAAAAAAAAAAAUUAAAAGACAAAAAAAAAAAAAAAGGAGGGUGGUUUAAAAGACGCUUCUAUCUCUGGGAAAAGAGCAGCAGUUGGCCAUGUUCUUCUGUUUUCUAUUCCUGUCCUAAAUCAAAGAGCAUGGUUCUCAGGAAACCAGUUCCCCGGUCAAAAAAUCUUGUAGUUUCUUAU